rnacentral:rRNA from 1 species
UACGAAGGGUGCAAGCGUUACUCGGAAUUACUGGGCGUAAAGCGUGCGUAGGUGGUUCGUUAAGUCUGAUGUGAAAGCCCUGGGCUCAACCUGGGAAUGGCAUUGGAAACUGGCGACCUAGAGUGCGGUAGAGGGUAGUGGAAUUCCCGGUGUAGCAGUGAAAUGCGUAGAGAUCGGGAGGAGCAUCCGUGGCGAAGGCGACUACCUGGACCAGCACUGACACUGAGGCACGAAAGCGUGGGGAGCAAACAGG